AAGAUUAAGCCAUGCAUGUCUAAGUAUAAGCAUUUAUACAGUGAAACUGCGAAUGGCUUAUUAAAUCAGUUAUCGUUUAUUUGAUAGUACCUUACUACUUGGAUAACCGUGGUAAUUCUAGAGCUAAUACAUGCUGAAAACCCCAACUUCGGGAGGGGUGUAUUUAUUAGAUACAAAACCAAUGCGGGGCAACCCGGUUUUUUGGUGAUUCAUAAUAACUUCGCGAAUCGCAU
rnacentral:rRNA from 1 species